AGUGAACGCUGGCGGUAGGCCUAACACAUGCAAGUCGAACGGCAGCACAGUAAGAGCUUGCUCUUACGGGUGGCGAGUGGCGGACGGGUGAGGAAUACAUCGGAAUCUACUUUUUCGUGGGGGACAACGUAGGGAAACUUACGCUAAUACCGCAUACGACCUACGGGUGAAAGCAGGGGAUCUUCGGACCUUGCGCGAUUGAAUGAGCCGAUGUCGGAUUAGCUAGUUGGCGGGGUAAAGGCCCACCAAGGCGACGAUCCGUAGCUGGUCUGAGAGGAUGAUCAGCCACACUGGAACUGAGACACGGUCCAGACUCCUACGGGAGGCAGCAGUGGGGAAUAUUGGACAAUGGGCGCAAGCCUGAUCCAGCAAUACCGCGUGGGUGAAGAAGGCCUUCGGGUUGUAAAGCCCUUUUGUUGGGAAAGAAAAGCAGCAGGUUAAUACCCCGCUGUUCUGACGGUACCCAAAGAAUAAGCACCGGCUAACUUCGUG
rnacentral:rRNA from 1 species